rnacentral:rRNA from 1 species
UACGAAGGGGGCUAGCGUUGCUCGGAAUCACUGGGCGUAAAGCGCACGUAGGCGGAUUGUUAAGUCAGGGGUGAAAUCCUGGAGCUCAACUCCAGAACUGCCUUUGAUACUGGCGAUCUUGAGUCCGGGAGAGGUGAGUGGAACUCCGAGUGUAGAGGUGAAAAUUCGUAGAUAUUCGGAAGAACACCAGUGGCGAAGGCGGCUUACUGGUCCGGAACUGACGCUGAGGUGCGAAAAGCGUGGGGAGCCAAACAGG